rnacentral:lncRNA from 10 species
CUGGGAGCUGGCGGGACCGUCCUCCCCCGCCACGCCCUCCCAUCGGGCUUUGGGCGCCGGACUCUGGCCACCGCUCGGCACCUGCCUCCGCCUCGCCUUGGGGUAUAGGAGUCCUGUACCGACCCCUGGCUUGCCCAGAGGACAGGUUCUCGCCCGGGCCAGAAGCAAACUGCGGCGAAAUCGAGACAACAGAACUCAGAGUCACUCUGUCACCCAGGCUGGAGUGCAGUGGCACCAUCACAGCUCCCUGCAGCCUUGACUUACAGGGCUCCAGUGAUCCUCCACCCUCAGCCUCCUGAGUAUCUGAGACCACAGGUGCAAGCCACCAUGCCCAGAGUGGACCAGUGUGAUGUUUUGUGGAAUGUCAGAACAAUCAAGAUCACUUCAGACUAUUAUGGCAGUGAGCAAGAGAACUAAUGGAGCCCGUGGCAACACUGGGAAGACAUAUUGUUGGCCCUGUUGGGUAACAGCAAAUCACUUCUGAUGGACCUUGCAAAUUGGUAUGGAGGAAAAGGCAUUAGCCAGUUGUAGCAAGGAAACCAAAAGGUAUAAACAUUCACUGAUUGAAAAACAAUGUCAUAAAGUCAUCCCAGUAUCUGUGAGGAGUUGGUUCCAGGACCCCUGAGGACACCAAAAUCCUCAGAUGCUCAAGUCCCUGAUAAAAAAAUAAAAGCAGUGGUGCCCUCGGGUUCAAAAACCUGAACGGUGGUCUUCAGUUGUUCCCCCAAGCUCCUCUAUCAGAGGCCCAGACACUCCAAGAGGCUGGGAAGAG